rnacentral:rRNA from 1 species
UAUGGCUCAGGAUGAACGCUGGCGGCGUGCUUAACACAUGCAAGUCGAACGGUGAAACUGGUGCUUGCACCAGUGGAUCAGUGGCGAACGGGUGAGUAACACGUGAGCAACUACCCCUGACUUUGGAAUAACUCCGGGAAACCGGUGCUAAUACCAAAUACGACACGCACAGGCCUCUGUAGCGUGUGGAAAGAUUUAUCGGUUGGGGAUGGGCUCGCGGCCUAUCAGCUUGUUGGUGGGGUAACGGCCUACCCAAGGCGACGACGGGUAGCCGGCCUGAGAGGGCGACCGGCCACACUGGGACUGAGACACGGCCCAGACUCCUACGGGAGGCAGCAGUGGGGAAUAUUGCACAAUGGGCGAAAGCCUGAUGCAGCGACGCCGCGUGAGGGGUGACGGCCUUCGGGUUGUAAACCUCUUUCAGUAGGGAGGAAGCGAGAGUGACGGUACCUAUAGAAGAAGCGCCGGCUAACUACGUGCCAGCCGCGGC